ACAGCAGCCGCCGCGGGAAUACCAGCAGCCCAAGUGGUGGUCGCGCUUAUUGGGCCUAAAGCGCUCGUAGCCUGGCCGGUAAGUUCCCCGUGAAAUCGGGUCGCCCAACGAUUCGGCUUGCGGGGAAUACUGUCGGUCUUGGGGCCGGGAGACGCCGAGGGUACUCCGGGGGUAGCGGUGAAAUGCUGUAAUCCUCGGGGGACUACCAGUGGCGAAGGCGCUCGGCGAUAACGGGCCUGACGGUGAGGGGCGAAAGCUGGGGGCGCGAACGGGAUUAGAUACCCCUGUAGUCCCUGUCUCUUAUA
rnacentral:rRNA from 1 species